rnacentral:rRNA from 1 species
UACGAAGGGUGCAAGCGUUAUCCGGAAUUAUUGGGCGUAAAGAGCUCGUAGGCGGUUUGUCGCGUCUGCUGUGAAAACUGGAGGCUCAACCUCCAGCCUGCAGUGGGUACGGGCAGACUAGAGUGCGGUAGGGGAGAUUGGAAUUCCUGGUGUAGCGGUGGAAUGCGCAGAUAUCAGGAGGAACACCGAUGGCGAAGGCAGAUCUCUGGGCCGUAACUGACGCUGAGGAGCGAAAGCAUGGGGAGCGAACAGG